UAAAAUGCUACAUAUGAGUAUUGAACCCGCUCCACUUAAGACUAUGAAACUACCCUCUCUCCACUAAGCCAUCUAUGAUUAGUUAAAAACUAACUGACAACUUAGCUAUAUAAACCAAAAUAGAUUAAAGUAUGAAUUAAAAUAAAAAUAAAAAUAAAAGUGGGGUGGUCUAUUUAUUGGACGGUUAAUUAAAACAAAAAGGAGGAAUCCCAAAAGGUGACCCUAGCCGCCUGGCUAUUGGGUUCACAAGAUUAGGGAUUGGGUACACAAAAAUAACAAUUAAUUACAACUAAUACCAAUAAACCAAAUUUAAUGACCAAAUGAGAAGUAACGUUCACUUAGUGGAGAUUCAAUGGUCUGCCUAAUAAAAAGCAAAUAAAUAAUAAUAAUAAAAAAAUAAAAAAAUAAAAGGAAAAGGUAAGGACAACGAAACUCAGUUCUCAAAACCUCACGCACGAAAUCUCUCUUCUCUCAAUCGCUACCAGCAAGCUCUCUCCAUCGCCCUCAAUGAAAUCGCUCCCUCAUCGCUCUCUCAAUCUCCAAUCUCACUCAAUCGC
rnacentral:lncRNA from 1 species